UACAGAGGGUGCGAGCGUUAAUCGGAAUUACUGGGCGUAAAGCGUGCGUAGACGGUGGCGUAAGUCGGGUGUGAAAGCCCCGGGCUCAACCUGGGAAUUGCAUUUGAGACUGCGUAGCUAGGGUGCGGAAGAGGGAAGCGGAAUUUCCGGUGUAGCGGUGAAAUGCGUAGAUAUCGGAAGGAACACCAGUGGCGAAAGCGGCUUCCUGGUCCAGCACCGACGUUCAGGCACGAAAGCGUGGGGAGCAAACAGG
rnacentral:rRNA from 1 species